GAGCCAGACUCCUACGGGCGGCCGCAGUGGUGGCUCUUGCACACUGGUGGCAACCCUGCUGCCGCGAAGCCGCGUGCGUGAAGAAGUCUUUCGGUAUGUACCGCUCUAUCAGCAGGGCCGCAGAUGACCGUCCCUGAGUAAGACGCCCCGGCUAACUCCGUGCCAGCAGCCGCGGUCAUACGUAGGGGGCCAGCGUUAUCCGGAUUUACUGGGUGUAAAGGGAGCGUAGCCGGUUAGGGAAGUCUGGAGUGAAAGCCCGGGGCCCAACCCCGGGACGGCGUGGGAAACGGUGGAACUAGAGGACAGGAGGGGCCGGCGGAAUUCCUGGGGGAGCGGUGAAAGGCGGAGAUAUCAGGAGGAACACCGGCGGCGAAGGCGGCCUGCGGGAAGGAAACUGACGGGGCGGCGCGAAAGCGGGGGGAGCCAACAGGAGGAGAGACCCGAGUA
rnacentral:rRNA from 1 species